rnacentral:rRNA from 1 species
AAAUCCCGACUUCGGAAGGGAUGUGUUUAUUAGAUAAAAAACCAAUGCCCUUCGGGGCUUUUUGGUGAUUCAUGAUAACUUUACGGAUCGCAUAGCCUUGCGCUGGCGACGGUUCAUUCAAAUUUCUGCCCUAUCAACUUUCGAUGGUAAGGUAUUGGCUUACCAUGGUUUCAACGGGUAACGGGGAAUUAGGGUUCGAUUCCGGAGAGGGAGNCUGAGAAACGGCUACCACAUCCAAGGAAGGCAGCAGGCGCGCAAAUUACCCAAUCCCGACACGGGGAGGUAGUGACAAUAAAUACUGAUACAGGGCUCUUUUGGGUCUUGUAAUUGGAAUGAGUACAAUUUAAACCUCUUAACGAGGAACAAUUGGAGGGCAAGUCUGGUGCCAGCAGCCGCGGUAAUUCCAGCUCCAAUAGCGUAUAUUAAAGUUGUUGCAGUUAAAAAGCUCGUAGUUGAAACUUGGGCCUGGCUGGCGGGUCCGCCUCACCGCGUGCACUCGUCCGGCCGGGCCUUCCUUCUGAAGAACCUCAUGCCCUUCACUGGGCGUGUUGGGGAAUCAGGACUUUUACUUUGAAAAAAUUAGAGUGUUCAAAGCAGGCCUUUGCUCGAAUACGUUAGCAUGGAAUAAUAAAAUAGGGCGUGCGUUUCUAUUUUGUUGGUUUCUAGAGACGCCGCAAUGAUUAACAGGAACAGUCGGGGGCAUCAGUAUUCAGUUGUCAGAGGUGAAAUUCUUGGAUUUACUGAAGACUAACUACUGCGAAAGCAUUUGCCAAGGAUGUUUUCAUUAAUCAGUGAACGAAAGUUAGGGGAUCGAAGACGAUCAGAUACCGUCGUAGUCUUAACCGUAAACUAUGCCGACUAGGGAUCGGGCGAUGUUCUUUUUCUGACUCGCUCGGCACCUUACGAGAAAUCAAAGUUUGGUCUGGGGAGUAGC